rnacentral:rRNA from 1 species
AUUGAACGCUGGCGGCAGGCUUAACACAUGCAAGUCGAACGAGUGGCGGACGGGUGAGUAAUGCUUGGGAAUCUAGCUUAUGGAGGGGGAUAACUACGGGAAACUGUAGCUAAUACCGCUUACCAUAGGUAGAGCCCAAGUGGGAUUAGGUAGUUGGUGAGGUAAAGGCGCACCAAGCCUACGAUCUCUAGCUGGUCUGAGAGGAUACCCAGCCACCCUGGGACUGAAGCACGGCCCCGACUCCUCCGUGAGUCAGCAGUGGGGUACAUUGCGCCAUGGGGGCAACCCGGAUGCACCCAUGCCGCGUUGAUGAAGAAGGCCUUAGGGUUGUAAAGUACUUUCAUCGAGGAGGCGUUAUUCGCUGAAUAAGCACCGGCUAACUCCGUGCCAGCAGCCGCGGUAAUAC